ACAGUGUCUGGUGGGUAGUUUGACUGGGGCGGUCUCCUCCUAAAGAGUAACGGAGGAGCACGAAGGUUGGCUAAUCCUGGUCGGACAUCAGGAGGUUAGUGCAAUGGCAUAAGCCAGCUUGACUGCGAGCGUGACGGCGCGAGCAGGUGCGAAAGCAGGUCAUAGUGAUCCGGUGGUUCUGAAUGGAAGGGCCAUCGCUCAACGGAUAAAAGGUACUCCGGGGAUAACAGGCUGAUACCGCCCAAGAGUUCAUAUCGACGGCGGUGUUUGGCACCUCGAUGUCGGCUCAUCACAUCCUGGGGCUGAAGUAGGUCCCAAGGGUAUGGCUGUUCGCCAUUUAAAGUGGUACGCGAGCUGGGUUUAGAACGUCGUGAGACAGUUCGGUCCCUAUCUGCCGUGGGCGCUGGAGAAUUGAGGGGGGCUGCUCCUAGUACGAGAGGACCGGAGUGGACG
rnacentral:rRNA from 1 species